rfam:Angiostrongylus costaricensis strain Costa Rica genome assembly, scaffold: ACOC_scaffold0002396
UCCUCGGUAGUAUAGUGGUUAGUAUCCGCGUCCGUCACAUGGGAGACCUGAGUUCAAUUCCCGGCCGGGGAG